rnacentral:rRNA from 2 species
AAUUAUUUAAAACUUUCAACAACGGAUCUCUUGGUUCCGGCAUCGAUGAAGAACGCAGCGAAAUGCGAUACGUAAUGUGAAUUGCAGAAUUCAGUGAAUCAUCGAGUCUUUGAACGCACAUUGCGCCCUCUGGUAUUCCGGAGGGCAUGCCUGUCCGAGCGUCAUU